UACCCACUCCCGGCACGGGGAGGUAGUGACGAAAAAUAACAAUACGGGACUCUUUUGAGACCCCGUAAUUGGAAUGAGUACACUCUAAAUCCUUUAACGAGGAUCUAUUGGAGGGCAAGUCUGGUGCCAGCAGCCGCGGUAAUUCCAGCUCCAAUAGCGUAUAUUAAAGUUGUUGCGGUUAAAAAGCUCGUAGUUGGAUCUCAGUUCCAGACGGGCGGUCCGCCUAACGGUGGUUACUGCCUGGCCUGAACAGCCAGCCGGUUUCCCUAGAUGAUCUUCACCGGUUGUCUUGGGUGACCGGCACGUUUACUUUGAAAAAAUUAGAGUGCUCAAAGCAGGCGUGUAGCCUGAAUAAUGGUGCAUGGAAUAAUGGAAUAGGACUUCGUUUCUAUUUUGUUGGUUUUCGGAACACGAGGUAAUGAUUAAGAGGGACAGACGGGGGCAUUCGUAUUGCGACGCUAGAGGUGAAAUUCUUGGACCGUCGCAAGACGA
rnacentral:rRNA from 1 species